rnacentral:lncRNA from 1 species
AAGUUAUUGCCAUUGACAAUAUUUUUGCACAUACAAUCACUGCGCAAAUGCAUUGGCUCAGUGGAGAAAGAACGCCGAGGACACAGUAUUGAAUUGUAAAUAAAAAGAGAGACAAAUUCAAACGAAAUGGCUAAAGAAAAAGUACAGGUGAGUUAAUAGCUCACAGCUUUUUAAUGAGAAGAUUCACUCCAUGUUCAGGUUCUAUAACCAACCUAAGAGCUGGGGCGUGAAUGUAUUUGGGUGAUAUAGUGAAGGAGAAAUUGGAAACGAUAGUUGCGAUGAGGAUUUUGAGUUCUGCCAUGGCAAAAUGCUGUCCGAGACAUGUCCGUGGCCCAACACCAAAGGGCAUGUAAACAUGAGGAUGCUUGCAGGCGCCACUGACCCCAUUGGCAAACCUCUCAGGAUUGAACUUGUCAGCGUCAGAUCCCCAUAUUUCAGGGUCUUGGUGUAGGGUUACAAUCAAGGUCCAAACGUUGACACCCUUGGGCACAAAAAUGUCUCCAAAUUUCAUGUCCUGUAACGCCUCCCUGGAUAUCACACAAACUGGAGGGUAGAGGCGCAGAGAUUCAUGAAUCACCAUCGUCAACUGCAAUCAAUCAAGUUGCUUAUUAGUCAAUUGGAUGAUGUUUUAACAGUUAAAGUAACCGGAGAGAUGACUCAAUCGGAAGGGCUAGCAUAGAAGAAAGCACUCACUGUUUUCAUCCUGCGAACCAUGCCAGCAUCAGGCAUUUGCCCCCCACAGACCUCAAGCACCUCGGCUCGAACUCUAUCUUGCCAUUCAGGAUUUGAUCCCAAAAGCAUCAUUGUCCAUGUUGCAGUGACGGAAGUUGUUUCAUAGCCAGCCAAGUAUAUGUUCUUGCAAUUGUCAACAACGAAACGGUCCAUUUCAGCUUUGCUGGUCUCACUAUCCUUGGCUCCUUUCAGGAUUAUUUCUAACAGGUCCUUCGAUGUUUGUUCCUUUUCUUCCUUCACUUCCUUCAAAAUUAAAGCACGCACUUCUUUCUCUAAUCUCCAAACUUCUCUGUUGCUCUUAGUUGGUAGAGCCCUGAAAAAUCACAAAGUUAACCCUUGCUCUUAAGUACUAAACUUUUUGAUAAAUUUCAAUAUAAAAAACUGAAGCUGUAAAGCUGUGUACCUCAAAAUGGGAAUCCCAGAAGACAAAGCUUUCUUUGACAUGGCUCCUUGAAGAGCUCUAAGCUUGAGGAAUAUCUCUUCUCCUUUGGCAUAAUUACUCCCAAAACAUGCUUUUGAAAUCACAUCUCCAGAGAAGCUUCUCAUGUCUUCAUCAACGUUGAUGUCCACAACUCCUCCCUCACUUUCAAUCCUUUUAGUCCACGAAUCAACUACUAUAUUCGAGGAUUCGACCAUGAUGCUCAUGAAAUUCUACAAAAGUUGGACCAUUGUUAAAAUAGCAAGAAAUUGUAGAUGUGUGUGUGUGCAUGUCUGAGCGCGCGCGCUCAUGGGAUGCCAAUGAUUGAAGCACAUUUUACCUUGACAUUCUCCAUGUAAAAUUCAGGAGCAAGGAUCUUUCUCUGAUGUGCCCAUAUAGCACCAUUUGAGGUCAGAAUACCUUGGCCAAGCAGAGGACCGCGCUCUUUUACUUGGUAAGAAGGCUUCCCCAAGUCUAAGGAAGUGCAGAUGCUGAUUUCCUUCACCGCAUCAGGAUGGUUCAUAUGCAAUAUCUGUAUGUUCCCAAGCGAGAACAUGAAUGUUGAACCUGAAAAAUGAAAGUAAUUAGACUCUCUUCAAUUGAAAUGAUAUGAUUUCAACAUAAUUAAACAUGGUGUGUUGGAGUUAAAAAUGAGAGAUUUAAGAGUUGAUCUAUACCAUAUUUCUUGCUCCAUUGCUCGAAGAAUGAGAAGGGAGUGUUGGAAGAAUUAUGACUUAUCACUUGUUCUCCUUCCCGUGAUGCUUUUGAGACCUUAGAUCGUGCCUUCUUAAUGUCCCGUAUGUUUCCAAGCAAAAAUGCAGGCGGUGGACCUCGGAUACCUUGCUUUCGUAGCUUCGAACGAAGCUUUUCUGGCUUGAAUAUUAGAGCAUCACACAUCCGUAUGACAAUGCUGACAAGGCCGAUAAGAGCAACGGCAACUGUGACCUUGGGCAGCAGCAGCAGCAGCUCCAUGUUUUGUUCCCCUCUGUCUUCCCAACUGCAACCGUGCAAGUACUUUUCUCCCUGAUGCAAGCUUACUUAUACAUUUAGUUGCCUUGGACUUCUCACAUAUCAAGCUAUAUAUUCCAGAUUAUAAUAAUCUGAAAGAAGAGUCCUAAUUAGCAACGUAGUUAUGAAAUUCUAGUCUUUUUUGGAUUAUGAAUUUUAACUUGAGCUGUAUAUACCUCAGAGAGGCACAAGAGAGAAUAUUGCCAAUAAGACAACAAUAGGAAUUACCCAGCAUAUAAACGUUGUGGCCUUUUGGAUUGAUAAGGAGGCUACUUGGCUCCUCGGUUGGUUUGUCCUGGACCUCAGGAUGAUCACCGCCUAAAAGCCUAUGGCCAAUACUAGCGCUAUCUUCCGAAAGAUCAUAAUGUGAUAUCUAUUUUGGUUUAAAGAAUUUUUUUUAUAUAAAUGUAUUAAAAUACUAUUUUUUAAUUUUUAAAAAUUAUUUUUGAUACUAAAAAACAUCAAUUUUUUGCACUUAGUAAUUUUCAAUAUCCCAAAUAUCGGACGUUAUGUUUUUGGCAUCUGUCUAAAGGUGCCUUAUGCUGUCGGUAUGUAAUCAUGUUCUUUCUGGAUUUUUGCUAAGGUGGUAUCAACCCUCCUUUUUUUCUUUUUUUCUUUUUUGAGAACAUGCAAUUGCAGAAGCUCCUUGGUGCUGUGAACCUCCAUCAAUAAUGGUAUAGUAAAUCUUCACAGCGACUUAUAAGAACUAAGAUUAAUGAUGAGAGGAUGAGGAAUGUCAUGCCAAAUGCAUAUUGAAGUUUUGGAGGAAGGGAUGAUGAUGCCGCGAUGUCUUGUAUGCUAGCUUUUUCAAUGUUUCUGUUUUGACGAAAAUGACGAAUGUAUACAAAAUCCUUUUAAUUACUAACUAUAAAUUAAAAGGCAUUAUUUUUUUUUUUACUGUGAAUUACAUCAUAAAAACUGAUGCCUUUUAGUUAUAAUUUUUUUUUCUGUUUUUUAAUUAAUUUUUUUUGUUUAAUUUAAUUUGUUAAUAUUAAUUUUUUUUCUAUUUAGUUAUAAUAUUCUUAUAACAUGGAUACCAGGUUUCACAAAUUAACCUAGUUUAUUCAGAUUUUUUUUAUUUAGUAAUUUUCUUACGAUAGAUUUUUUUGUUUUGUUUUUUUUAAUUAAUCUUUUUUUUUGUUUAAUUUAGUUCAUUAAUAUUAUUUUUUUCUAUUUAGUUAUCACACUCUCAUGACAUGAAUCCCAAGUUUGACGGGUUAACCUGAUUUGACGAGUUAACCCAGUUGAUUCAAUUUUUUUUUUCAUUAGUUUUUUUUCUUUCAAUUUCAUCUUUUAAUAUUGUAACUAUAACUAAAUGAGGUCAAACUUUUACUGGGGAUUGCACUAUGCAAAUUCACAGUGAAAGACAAAUGCCUUUUAGUUAUAGGUUUUUUUUUGCUUUUUUCUUUUGAAUUAAUCUUUUUUUUAAUUUAGUUCGUUAAUAUUAAAUUUUUUUUUUGUAUUUAGUUAUCACACUCUCAUGACACGGAUCUCAGGUUUGAUAUGUUAACUUGGUUUGACGGGUUAACCUAGUUGAUUCAUUUUUUUUUUAUUAAUUAGUUUUUUCUUCCAAUUUCAUCUUUUAAUAUCGAUUUGAUUGAGAAUUAAAUUUCAUAAUUUGUUUUGUUUACUUUUCAUUAUAUUAUUGUGAUCUUAUGAGUGAAUUUUACUAUACUCCUCCUCGCAAAGCACUAUUCAUUGGAAUAGUUCUUUGCUUUGUUGUUUUUUUCUUUUCAAUUAAUUUUGUUUGUUUAAUUUCAUUAUGUAAUAUUAAUUUUUUUUAUUUAAUUAUCAUAUUUUCAUGACACGACCUUGCAGCCAGAUUCAUAUCCAAGGCUCUUGGGUUUAGUAUUGCAACAAGACCCAAGGCUCUUGAGUCUGACUUUGCAGGCAAACUUACUUAAACUUAAGUCAUGCAAGUUUAAUAUUAUUAUUAAUAUUAAAAAUAUUAUUAUUUGUAUUAUAAAUAUUACUAUUGAGUCAGGCGUUGCAGCCAGACCCAAGACUCUUGGAUCUCGCUUUACAGAUAGACCUAACACUCUUGGAUCUUAGAUUUUUUUACAUUUUUUAUGCCAAAAAAUUGAUCCACGGCGUAGUGCGGGCCACCUAACUAGUCUUAACGAAAAUAGCAUCGCCAAAUAAAAACCCUUUAUUAAUGGGAGUUCAUUCAUACCAAUUUUAAACUCAUAAUUAUCUGAUUUGAUUGUUUAAAGAUUUUAAAUUAAAAAACUAAAAACUUAAUUAUUUUAGUUUGAUUUUGUGUUUAAAAAUGAUAUUUGUAAAAAAAACGUUGUUUGAGAGGCCGGAAUAAUUAUUUUAGUUGUGUUUUAUGCCACAACUCGAUUCCCAGAUCUAUAACUGACACUUAGAGAAGGUCCCCUUCCAAAGUUUCAUAUAUAUGCAAACCCAAAUUUAUACACGAACUUAUCUUUUAAAUAACUCAAUUUGAGUUCAACGCAACACUAAUAACAAAACUAACUUCAUUGUAUAGUUUGAUUAUUUUAAUAUAAGAAUUAAUAUAAAUUCAUAGUUGUGGAGCAUUAACUAGACAUAAAGGAAAAAUGAUUACAAUAAAAAAACAGGUUCUGAAGGUCCAACAAAAGUGACCCGCUAACAAGUUAUAAGCUUGAAAAAGAUAAAUAAUGAAGGAGUGAGUUCAACAACUCAGUGAGUAGAUAACGUUUAAUAUAUAUACACGAGGUAUAUAUAUGAAAGUUUCUCAAAUAGAUCAUAAAAAUAUCAUAAGGUAAAACUUGUUAUAAAAUCAAAAUGCAAUGAGUAUGAGGCACCGUACUAUGAGAUGAUCAAUCCAUAUAGGUUGAUGACUCCCCCGAUCAACUAGGAUUUCAGAUACAAUGUGCACAAAGACUAACACUAUCUUGUUAGUAUGAGUAUUUUAAUUGACAUACAAUAGGUUUCUAUCAUAAUCAAACAUACAAAUUCAUAUCCGAAGGCUUAACUCAUGACAUCAAUUAAAUGAGGAGCUAUCAAUUUAGAAGUCAAUCUAAAAAUGUAUAUUGGCUCAUAUUAAGAAUUCAGCUUUAACAAUUAAUCAUGCUUUAUCGUAACAAAUGAUAAUAAUCAACAUAGAGACACACACACACGAUCCAAUUCGUAUUAAUAAUUCAAAUAUUUAUACUAUUUCUCAUGCAUAUAUAAAAUUAUCUACUCACCUGACUCAAAAGCGAACAUAACUCGAAAGCAAAUACCGAAGGAAAUCUCAUUGAUGUCCCGCAUGUGAAAUAUCAGGAUUAUCUGAAUAUAAAAGAAGACAUUCUAAAAAAUGACUUGAAAAGAAUGUAUAACCUAUUUAAUAAACUUAACUAAGGAUCUAACUCAUAACCCUAUAUGUUUAUAAACUAAACUAGUCAUUUUUUUUCAAAAACCAAAUAAUUAAAUGGUUUUCUCGAAAUUUAAUUCAAGAGAAAACAAAUCAUAAAAGUUGAUAAUAAUUCACCAAAUAACCCUCAAAUAUUCAUCAAACCAAUCUGAAAAAAUUAAAAUUACAGCUAAGACCAAUCUGGAAUUUUAUUAGAUUUUAGGGGUCAAAUUGUAAUUUUAUCAAAUUAGAGGACCAAAAUAAAAAUAUCAUAAAUUCAUAACUAUAUUAGAAUUUUGCCCAUUAUUCAUCCUCAAUUUUGUCUAGAAUCUUUAAUUAUGCUUCAUGGACCAAUUUGUUUUUUCCAAAGUUUAGGGACUAAACUGUAAUUUUCAUAAAUUGAGUUACCAAAAUGAAAUUGUCAUUUUCAACCUCAAAACUAGAUUUUUCCAUAGAUCACCUACUGAUAUAUCAAAAUUUCUAACUCAAAUUCAUCAUUUAAACAAACCAUAACUCAAAAUCAUCAUUGUUACCUAAAAUCUUUUAAAAUCAACUAAAUAACUCAUUACUCAUAACAAUUAACCUUUGAACAUAUCUAAACAAUAAGUUAAAUACCGUUCUGCAAGUCAACAUACAACCCUAGGUCAAAGUUACAAGAAAGUGGACUUGUACAAAUUGAUGUGGUUUUUGUUUUUUUUUUUACAUGCUUUCGAUCAAUUCAAUCGAAAUAAGAGUCUAUCUCAACUUCAAUGGAUUCGCCGUCGGAAGUUCUGUUUGAGCGACAUAGUUGCAAACUUUUUGUAGGCUCCAGGAUUUUUAUGACUAUUUUUGAAUUAUAGAUCAAUACAACAAGAAAUUUUUCUGGGUAUCUUUUGAUGUGCUUUUCUUUGAACUUUUUUACCAUAAAAGCCGCAGUUCUCCCCCGUCAAUAGUAUAUUUGAGUCUCACCAUUUCACUCCUAUGGUAGGAUUUUUUUCGGCUUUGUAUUUUCCAAUCAAACUUGCUCAGCUGACAAAUAUGGUUUGAAACAUAGAGAGGCAGUUUGGGAUUUUUCCAAGCUACCAGAGUCUCCCUUCACUUUGUGCAGGUACCUACUAUCAGAAAGCGAUUUUCUAUGAUUUUCUGUGUAAGCAUUUUUCUCUGCUUUUCCUGACAGUUUGUGCUGUAAUAUGGAAUUAAAUUGUAUUUUAUUUAUUGAUUGAAAAUGUCAUUAAAUUAAGGUUUGCUUCGGCGUGGCUCUCAUAAAUGUCUCUUGUAGCUUCCCCUAGGAUAGAUAACACGAUCGCAUAUGAUCUUUCGUCAGCAUCCAUUAGUUGGGGUAGCAGUUAUCCCAUCUUUGUAUGCACGCUGAUGCCUUCAGAACUUUGCCUUUGGUGUGGUGCUGGCCACGGUCAGUCUGUUCGGUUUUCUCCGCUGGAAUCUCUCUCCUCGGCACUAUAUUAAUGCUCUUAGGUUGCCAGAAAAUUACAUUGAGGUCUGUUACUCCUCCCAUUUCCUGAAAUAACCUUUAAUUGUUAAUGACGUUUUCAUACAAACAUAUAAUAUUAAAUUAAGAUUGUUGACCGGAUUCUUGGCGGAUCCUUCAAUGCUGUACUCGAUCAGGAGCUAGGCCGGAAUGAUUUCUACAAAACUGGGAGUUUGAAACGCUCAGACAGUUUUGAAGUCAGGUAUUUUCAGCUUCUUUCUACUUUGUACACUUUUGGGGUUUAUGUUCAUCGGAAAGAUAGCAUGAAAAAAUUUCAUGGAAGAGACUGAGAGUGAAAAUAGCCAAUUUUUCCAUACAUACAAAAUGGAUGUCACCUCACAAUUCAUCCUCGGCUUCCUGGCAGUGUCAAGCAGAGUCCCUGGUUCAUAAACUUAUCUUUAUUUUAGAGCCAUCAUUCUUUUUCCUUGGUUGAUCGAAAUUAUUGCUUCUGCUGGGUGGGUUUACCAUGAAGAGACUGAUGGGAGUACAUUUCUAGGCCUGGAAAAGGCAGGCGUGAGGCACGGUGGAUGAAGUUAAGAACAGAUUCGAGAUCCAACCAAGAAUGGCUCCAUGAAAAAGAGAAAAAGUCACUGUUCGCAGAGAAUUUGUUGUUGGUUUAGGAUGCCAAAAACCUGACACUGGUGUUUCCCCUUCACUGUGUUGGGUUUCUAUCCAAGGUUUCAUCAUUCGAGCAGAUGAAAACAUUGUUUGCGUGAGCUGUACAAAUCUACACACAACAGGAAACUACAGCUGUCAUAUUCUAGUAUAUCUCCUAUUUAUGUAAAUCCCGAUUGUUAUGGAAUGGUAUGGUAGUUGAUUUCUUUCCAAAGACAGCUAGUAAGGCUAUAAACUGCUAUGUAUAUAUAUAUUCAGUCUCAGAAAUAAAGAGUGAGAAAGAAUUCUUGCAGGAAAUCUCUUUAGGUUAACAAACAUAACCAGCGAAACAAGUUAUUGCCAUUGACAAUAUUUUUGCACAUACAAUCACUGCGCAAAUGCAUUGGCUCAGUGGAGAAAGAACGCCGAGGACACAGUAUUGAAUUGUAAAUAAAAAGAAAGACAAAUUCAAACGAAAUGGCUAAAGAAAAAGUACAGGUGAGUUAAUAGCUCACAGCUUUUUAAUGAGAAGAUUCACUCCGUGCUCAGGUUCUAUAACCAACCAAAGAGCUGGGGCGUGAAUGUAUUUGGGUGAUAUAGUGAAGGAGAAAUUGGAAACGAUCGUUGCGAUGAGGAUUUUGAGUUCUGCCAUGGCAAAAUGCUGUCCGAGACAUGUCCGUGGCCCAACACCAAAGGGCAUGUAAACAUGAGGAUGCUUGCAGGCGCCACUGACCCCAUUGGCAAACCUCUCAGGAUUGAACUUGUCAGCGUCAGAUCCCCAUAUUUCAGGGUCUUGGUGUAGGGUUACAAUCAAGGUCCAAACGUUGACACCCUUGGGCACAAAAAUGUCUCCAAAUUUCAUGUCCUGUAACGCCUCCCUGGAUAUCACACAAACUGGAGGGUAGAGGCGCAGAGAUUCAUGAAUCACCAUCGUCAACUGCAAUCAAUCAAGUUCCUUAGUCAAUUGGAUGAUGUUGUAACAGUUAAAGUAACCAGAGAGAUGGCUCAAGCGAAAGGGCUAGCAUAGAAGAAAUCACUCACUGUUUUCAUCCUGCGAACCAUGUCAGCAUCAGGCAUUUGCCCCCCACAGACCUCAAGCACCUCGGCUCGAACUCUAUCUUGCCAUUCAGGAUUUGAUCCCAAAAGCAUCAUUGUCCAUGUUGCAGUGACGGAAGUUGUUUCAUAGCCAGCCAAGUAUAUGUUCUUGCAAUUGUCAACAACGAAACGGUCCAUUUCAGCUUUGCUGGUCUC